GGCGAGGUAGCUCAGAUGGUUAGAGCAUGCGGCUCAUAUCCGCAGUGUCGGAGGUUCAAUUCCUCUCCUCGCUA
rnacentral:tRNA from 1 species